rnacentral:rRNA from 1 species
CCGAUUCCUACGGGAGGCAGCAGUGGGUUAUUUUUCUUUUUGGGGGCAACUCUGAUGCAGCGACGCCGUGAGAGCGAUGAAGGCCUUCGGGGUGUAAAGCUCUUUCGGCAGGGACGAUAAUGACGGUACCUGAAGAAGAGGCUGCGGCUAACUACGUGCCAGCAGCCGCGGUAAUACGUAGGCAGCGAGCGUUGUUCGGAGUUACUGGGCGUAAAGCGCGCGCAGGCGGCCUUUUAAGUCUGAUGUGAAAGCCCCCGGCUCAACUCGGGGAGGGUCAUUGGAAACUGGAAGGCUUGAGWSCAGAAGAGAAGAGCGGAAUUCCACGUGUAGCGGUGAAAUGCGUAGAGAUGUGGAGGAACACCAGUGGCGAAGGCKCGCUCUUUGGUCUGUAACUGACGCUGAGGCGCGAAAGCGUGGGGAGCGAACAGGAUUAGAUACCCUGGUAGUCCACGCCRUAAACGAUGAGUGCUAAGUGUUGGGGGGUUUCCGCCCCUCAGUGCUGCAGCUAACGCAUUAAGCACUCCGCCUGGGGAGUACGGCCGCAAGGCUGAAACUCAAAGGAAUUGACGGGGGCCCGCACAAGCGGUGGAGCAUGUGGUUUAAUUCGACGCAACGCGAAGAACCUUACCUGGGCUCGAACGGCUGUGGACCGGACCUGGAAACAGGACCUUUCCCGCAAGGGACUAUAGUCGAGGUGCUACAUGGCUGUCGUCAGCUCGUGUCGUGAGAUGUUGGGUUAAGUCCCGCAACGAGCGCAACCCUUGCCCUUAGUUGCCAGCAUUUAGUUGGGAACUCUAAGGGGACCGCCGGUGACAAACCGGAGGAAGGGUGGGGAUGACGUCAAGUCAGCAUGGCCUUUAUGUCCAGGGCCACACACGUGCUACAAUGGCCGGUACAAAGGGUUGCCAACCCGCGAGGGGGAGCCAAUCCCAAAAAGCCGGUCGUAGGAAAGAUCGCAGUCUGCAACUUGGCUGCGUGAAGUCGGAAUCGCUAGUAAUCG